rnacentral:rRNA from 1 species
AGUGAACGCUGGCGGUAGGCCUAACACAUGCAAGUCGAACGGCAGCACAGUAAGAGCUUGCUCUUACGGGAGGCGAGUGGCGGACGGGUGAGGAAUACAUCGGAAUCUACUUUUUCGUGGGGGAUAACGUAGGGAAACUUACGCUAAUACCGCAUACGACCUACGGGUGAAAGCAGGGGAUCUUCGGACCUUGCGCGAUUGAAUGAGCCGAUGUCGGAUUAGCUAGUUGGCGGGGUAAAGGCCCACCAAGGCGACGAUCCGUAGCUGGUCUGAGAGGAUGAUCCGACACACUGGAACUGAGACACGGUCCAGACUCCUAGGGGAGGCAGCAGUGGGGAAUAUUGGACAAUGGGCGCAAGCCUGAUCCAGCCAUACCGCGUGGGUGAAGAAGGCCUUCGGGUUGUAAAGCCCUUUUGUUGGGAAAGAAAAGCAGCAGGUUAAUACCCCGCUGUUCUGACGGUACCCAAAGAAUAAGCACCGGCUAACUUCGUG